rnacentral:misc_RNA from 1 species
GUGAAUCAUCGAAUUUUUGAACGCAAAUUGCACUCUCCGGUUUUCCGGGAGAGUAUGCCUGUUUGAGGGUCAGCCUAAAAAAAAUCGACAUUGUUGCUGUUAUUUAAUGGUGACUUUCGUCGGAGAUUGGGUUAUCUUAAACCUUUUUUUUUUUUUGUUUUAACCACUUUAAAUUUUUUUUUCACAUUUCCUUUAAGGUUUUUAAGUUUUUAUUUUUUUAACGUUUUA